ensembl:snRNA U6 U6 spliceosomal RNA
GUGCUUGCUUCAGCAACACAACCACUAAAACUGGAAUGAUACAGAGAUUAGCAUGGCCCCGAGCAAAGAUAACACACCAAUUCACGUAACGUUACAAUUUUAA